UUCCUUGGAUUCAAACAAAAGCGUGAAGAGCCAAAACUUUGCGUUUUUUUCUCUAUUCGGUUCUCUCAACUUGUCACUCUCUCAAGUCUCAACGGCCCUAAGUCUCCUCUCUCGCGAUCACCGUUCAAUCGGAAAGAUGUCUUGCUCGUCGCAACCAGCGGUCCCUACACUCAGAACCGUCACCGUGUCAUACUCUGAACUGAAGGACAAGGAUGCUGACUUGUCUUGGAAGAUUGAAGAAGGUUUUGGCCCAAACGGACUGGGAAUUCUAUCAGUUCAAGAUGUUCCAGGGUUUUCUUCCUUGCGUCGAGAUCUUCUACAUCUUGCACCUAGAUUAGCUAGUUUGUCUGAAGAGGUGAAGAAGGAACUUGAAGAUCCUGAUAGUAGGUACAACUUUGGGUGGAGUCAUGGGAAAGAGAAGCUUGAAUCUGGGAAGCUUGAUAUGCUGAAGGGCUCCUUUUAUGCAAAUCCCAUCUUAGAUACGCCUACUACUGAUGCACAUUUAAUACAAAGGUAUCCGUCCUAUUGUGGAUCAAAUAUAUGGCCUGAUAAAGCAUUGCCAGAACUUGAAGUGGCUUUCAAAGCUCUUGGAAAGCUGAUACUUGAUGUCGGGUUGAUGUUGGCUUAUCACUGUGAUCAAUAUGUAUCAAAGGGGAAGAAGAUGCAUGAAAGUCAGUCUCUUGAACAGAUAAUUCGUCAUUCGCGGUGCCCUAAGGGCCGGUUGCUUUAUUACUUUCCAACACAAGAAAGUAAUUGUGUCAAAGAUGCUGAGUCAAUGUCGUCUUGGUGCGGAUGGCACACUGACCAUGGUUCACUGACAGGUCUGACCUGUGCCAUGUAUACAAGAGAUGCUGUGGAAAUACCUUGUCCUGAUAGUGCUGCUGGACUUUACAUUAGAACACGUACAGGUCAAAUUGUCAAAGCUGUAUUUGGUGAAGAUGAAAUAGCAUACCAAGUUGGUGAAACCUCUGAAAUACUCUCGAGUGGCUAUCUAUGCGCAACACCUCAUUGUGUCCAGGCACCAAAAGCAAAGGAGGCUUCUUGUCUUGACCGAUCUACAUUUGCAUUAUUCAUGCAACCUGACUGGGAUGAAAAGCUUAAUUUUCCAGAGGAGGUGCAUAUCCAUAAAGAGCUGAUCCCUGCAAAUGGUUUCCUAACGUUUGGAGAGUACACAGAGAAGCUUUUGGACAAAUAUUACCACCUGAAAAUGUGAAGACCACCCACACACGUGUAUUUGCGUCAGCUGUAAUUAGUUUCUCAGUAAAGGAUAAGGUGGGUCCCAAGAGAUGCCGUUUCCACAUAUGCGUGCUGUAUUAUAAAUAUACCAUCAUAUUCAAUCAAAUGGCAGCCAAACCAUUGAACAGAUGCAUUCUAGAAAGGUCGGCCCAACAAUCGAAAUUGAUCUUCUAAUCUUGCAAGUUUCCACUUCAACAAUAUAUAAACAUAGAUAGUAGUUAAAUAUUUCAAUAAAAUACACAUCAGUUCACGAGAAA